rnacentral:rRNA from 1 species
CCUUGSAUAUUCUUCCUGGUCARCUKGGAUMUUCGGCGUAGUCAUGGUCAUAUGUUGGUCUAGCGASGGWCMUCCUUCGGGUGUGAGUACRGCGGCGAACGGGUGAGUAACACGUGGGCAACCUGCCCCASARACUGGGAUAACGUCCCGAAAGGGACGCUAAUACCGGWWGAUGCGCGACCUGCCAAGUGGGUCGCGCCAAAUGGUAGCGUAAGCUUCUACUCUGGGAUGGGCCCGCGCCGGAUUAGCUUGUUGGUGAGGUAACGGCUCACCAAGACCGCGAUGUCUAGGGGUUCUGAGAGGAUUCACCCCCACACUGGUACUGAGACACGGACCAGACUCCUACGGGAGGCAGCAGUAAGGAAUAUUGGUCAAUGGACGCAAGUCUGAACCAGCCAUGCCGCGUGCAGGAAGACGGCCCUAUGGGUUGUAAACUGCUUUUGUACGGGAAAAAACCUUCGGUCGUGAACCGGAGCUGAUGGUACCGUAAGAAUAAGCAUCGGCUAACUCCGUGCCAGCAGCCGCGGUAAUACGGAGGAUGCAAGCGUUAUCCGGAUUCAUUGGGUUUAAAGGGUGCGCAGGCGGAAUGAUAAGUCAGUGGUGAAAUCCUAGAGCUUAACUCUAGAACUGCCAUUGAUACUGUCAUUCUUGAGUACACUUGAAGUGGGCGGAAUGUGUCAUGUAGCGGUGAAAUGCUUAGAUAUGACAAGGAACACCGAUCGCGAAGGCAGCUCACUAAAGUGCAACUGACGCUCAGGCACGAAAGCGUGGGGAUCAAACAGGAUUAGAUACCCUGGUAGUCCACGCCGUAAACGAUGAUUACUCGAUGUUGGCGAUACACAGUCAGCGUCUAAGCGAAAGCAUUAAGUAAUCCACCUGGGGAGUACGGCCGCAAGGUUGAAACUCAAAGGAAUUGACGGGGCUCGCGCAGCGGAGGAGCAUGGUGGCUUAAUUCGAUGAUACGCGAGGAGCUUACUGGGCUAGAACGCUGAUGACGUCGGGAAACGGAUUUCUCUUCGGAGCAACAGCGAGUGCUGCAUGUGUCGUMGCUCGGCUGAGGKUCGUAGUCCAUACGAGCAACAUWCCUAGUUGCAUCAGUAUGCUGACUCUUAUGAAACUGCCCUACCYCAAGUAUUGUU